AGUUUAGUCAUGGCUCAGAUUGAACGCUGGCGGGAUGCUUUACACAUGCAAGUCGGGCAGCAGCGGACUUCGGUCUGGUGGCGAGUGGCGAACAGGUGAGUAAUGUAUCGGAACGUGCCUAGUAGCAAGGGGAUAACUACGCGGCGUGUGCGUACCGCAUACGCCCUUCGGGAAAGCGGGGACCUUCGGGCCUCGCACUAUUAAGAAGCAG
rnacentral:misc_RNA from 1 species